rnacentral:rRNA from 1 species
UACGUAGGUGGCAAGCGUUGUCCGGAUUUAUUGGGCUUAAAGGGUGCGUAGGUGGUCUAGUAAGUCAGUGCUGAAAUAUCCCGGCUUAACCGGGAGGGUGGCAUUGAUACUGAUGGACUUGAGUGGAGUUGAGGUAGGCGGAAUUGACGGUGUAGCGGUGAAAUGCUUAGGUAUCGUCAAGAACACCGAUAGCGAAGGCAGCUUACCAAGCUCUAACUGACACUGAUGCACGAAAGUGUGGGGAUCAAACAGG